CAGUCGCCGCGGUAAUACGUAGGUGGCAAGCGUUGUCCGGAAUUAUUGGGCGUAAAGGGCUCGCAGGCGGUUUCUUAAGUCUGAUGUGAAAGCCCCCGGCUCAACCGGGGAGGGUCAUUGGAAACUGGGAAACUUGAGUGCAGAAGAGGAGAGUGGAAUUCCACGUGUAGCGGUGAAAUGCGUAGAGAUGUGGAGGAACACCAGUGGCGAAGGCGACUCUCUGGUCUGUAACUGACGCUGAGGGGCGAAAGCGUGGGGAGCGAACAGGAUUAGAUACCCCCGUAGUCCCUGUCUCUUAUAC
rnacentral:rRNA from 1 species